AAAAAUAAAUAAUCAUGCUAUAUGAUUUAGAAAAUAAAUCAAUUAUAAUAUUUAGUUUACAAAAAGAAUGAUAGAAAAGAGGUAAUACAGAAUCAUGAAAAUUUAUACUAGUUUAAAAAAAUUAUGAUCAAAUUUUAUAAGUCGAUGUAUAUAAAUUUUCACAAUCUACAUAACUUUUGAAAAUCUAUCAAUUCUUAAAAUUCACAAACUC
rnacentral:lncRNA from 1 species